rnacentral:rRNA from 1 species
GACGAACGUUGGCGGUGCGCUUAAUGCAUGCAAGUCGAACGAGAACUGGUUCAUUCGUAAGAAUGUUCCAGGGACAGUGGCGAACGGGUGCGUAACACGUGAGAAACCUGCCCUGGAGAUCGGGAUAGCCCGAGGAAACUCGGAUUAAUACCGAAUGCCUUCACCGAGUCGCAUGGCUCUAUGAAGAAAUGGUCCGCCGCUCCAGGAUGGUCUCGCGGCCUAUCAGCUUGUUGGUGAGGUAACGGCUCACCAAGGCAACGACGGGUAGCUGGUCUGAGAGGACGAUCAGCCACACUGGGACUGAGACACGGCCCAGACUCCUACGGGAGGCAGCAGUAGGGAAUCUUGCGCAAUGGGGGAAACCCUGACGCAGCGACGCCGCGUGCGGGAUGAAGGCCCUAGGGUUGUAAACCGCUUUCAGCAGGGACGAAAUUGACGGUACCUGCAGAAGAAGGCCCGGCCAACUACGUG